rnacentral:rRNA from 1 species
CCUACGGGUGGCAGCAGUGGGGAAUAUUGGACAAUGGGCGAAAGCCUGAUCCAGCCAUGCCGCGUGUGUGAAGAAGGCCUUCGGGUUGUAAAGCACUUUCAGUGGGGAAGAAAGCCUUGGGGCUAAUACCCUCGAGGAAGGACAUCACCCACAGAAGAAGCACCGGCUAACUCCGUGCCAGCAGCCGCGGUAAUACGGAGGGUGCGAGCGUUAAUCGGAAUUACUGGGCGUAAAGCGCGCGUAGGCGUUUGAUAAGCCGGUUGUGAAAGCCCCGGGCUCAACCUGGGAACGGCAUCCGGAACUGUCAGGCUAGAGUGCAGGAGAGGAAGGUAGAAUUCCCGGUGUAGCGGUGAAAUGCGUAGAGAUCGGGAGGAAUACCAGUGGCGAAGGCGGCCUCCUGGACUGACACUGACGCUGAGGUGCGAAAGCGUGGGUAGCAAACAGGAUUAGAUACCCCGGUAGUC